GGAAGCCUGGGAUAUAUGUGUACCACAUUAGAAUGAUGAAGACAAGGAUUGAUAAGCUAGAACUUUCUGAUGUAGUCAUUACAUGAAAGCCCUUUUCACUGGUUUGAGUUGUGUGUUCAGAGGAAGCAAUGGCAGAGAUGCUUUUCCUGAAAUAAACCAGUAGCUUUUCAGAUUGACAUUCUUGCUACAAUUCUACCAUCUGGUAUUUCCUGAAAAUGUCAAAUUUUUUGUGUUAAUAUUUUUGGUUUCAAACAAUAACAGAAAUUUUAAGAAGGCUUAAUAGUAAAAAUGCCUUUCCUGAAAUAAUCUUGGAAAAUUUUUUAAACGUCAAAAUGAUGAGUCAUGCUCAUACAUUAAGGGUUUGUUUUUUGUUUGUUUGUUUGUUUGUUUUUGAGACGGAGUUUCGCUUUUGUUGCCCAGGCUGGAGUGCAAUGGCACGAUCUCAGCUCACCGCAACCUCCACUUCCCGGGUUCCAGUGAUUCUCCUGCCUCAGCCUGCAUUAAGGGUUUUGUCAGACAAUUUGUCACACAAAGAACAGUGUCACUUAUCUACUCUUGACAUACAGAACUGGCCUGGCAUAUAGCUUUCUAGAUUUUACUCAAACUUGGUACUGCAGUUUGAGAAUUUGAAUUUUGACUGCCGAUUAGCUGGAAAGCCUAGUUUUAAUGGAAAGAAAGUUUGCUUUUAAAACUGAAAGUAGUUUCUUUCAUGCUAACAAAUCUAACUUCAUACAUAAUUGGCCAUAUUAGUAAAACACGUCAUGAUAGCAGUGUAUAGUCUUGUUUAUAGUUGGAAGUCAUCUUUUAGGAGUUAUUCUCAGAUAUAUAUAACAGCUACCCAUGCAUCAUUAUUAAAAUCCCCAAAUUCAAAAAACCUCUGAGAUAUAUAUAUCCUCCUGGAGAUAUAUAUAUAUAAUUUUGGGGGGGGCGGUGCCAACUGAGAUUUAAAUCCAAGUGCUGGUGUCUAGUUCUGAACAUCAACUAAAGAGUUUUGGAAAUGACAGCAAUUUAUAACAAAUUCAUACUGACUUCCUUUCUAUGACAAGAAGACAUUCUGUGCUGUUUUGAACAGAUUAAAGAUUUGUGUAGUUUGUGGGAAAUUGCUGUUUUUGUUUAAAUUCCACCCGUGUUUGUCUUUUCCUACCACCUGUGGCCAGGUGCUCGCUGGCUAUCACAGUUGAGAUUCCAUGAGUAGCUGCUUCAUGACUGCUUUUUGUACUAUCUGGAUGUGCCCAGAGUUACUUCUGUGCAAGCUCUAUAUCUAUGUCCGUUGAGAACAUUAUUUUAACAAGAGGAGCACCAACAGUAGCAUGAAAUACAAUACCGUUUUAUAAUUCUAAAGCUGCUGUUAAUUUAUGAGGUACAUAAUAAUCUAAUGUAAACUGCAGAAGUCAGAGCAAGUGCCUACAUUUUGUUAUUUUUGGCAUUACUACAGAGCCAUGUACAAUAGAAAGCAAUGCAAGACUUGUAAACUCUCGCCACUUCUUGUAAUAUCAAAUGUUCCCCCUCAGGUUAUUUUGCUUAUGGUACCCAUGAGUUGCCUCUCUGUACAUAGAUAAAUUGUUCCAAUAUUUUCCUUUGAUGUUUGGAACUACAGAUAGUCAAGGGCUGGAAAUACUAGUUUUCAAUAUAAGCUUCCAGCUUAGCAAUUACCUCUAGUCCAAGACAAUAUUUGAUUCCUAGUUCUGUUUGGGGCAGAUUUUCAUUUAUCUAAAUAAAAUGCAAUCGAAUUAAAUGCCA
ensembl:lncRNA